UCCAGACUCCUACGGGAGGCAGCAGUGGGGAAUAUUGCACAAUGGGCGAAAGCCUGAUACAGCGACGCCGCGUGAGUGAAGAAGUAUUUCGGUAUGUAAAGCUCUAUCAGCAGGGAAGAAAAUGACGGUACCUGACCAAGAAGCCCCGGCUAACUACGUGCCAGCAGCCGCGGUAAUACGUAGGGGGCAAGCGUUAUCCGGAUUUACUGGGUGUAAAGGGAGCGUAGACGGCCGUGCAAGUCUGAUGUGAAAACCCGGGGCUCAACCCCGGGACUGCAUUGGAAACUGCAUGGCUGGAGUGUCGGAGAGGCAAGUGGAAUUCCUAGUGUAGCGGUGAAAUGCGUAGAUAUUAGGAGGAACACCAGUGGCGAAGGCGGCUUGCUGGACGACGACUGACGUUGAGGCUCGAAAGCGUGGGGAGCAAACAGGAUUAGAUACCCCCGUAGC
rnacentral:rRNA from 1 species